UUAUUUGCCUUCUGUGACAGCUUUUGGACUGUUUCAUAGUCUCCUAUGAAGUAACUUGUAUCCUAUUGAUUGAGGUCUCUUGAGGCUGCCAGAAGCAAUCACUUUGUAAACCAGAAAACACAAUGAGUAUAUGAAGAAAGUCAGCUAACAUGAAAGAGCAUAAACAAGUGCAGGGUGGAGAAAACUAGGAUCACAGGUCUUUGGUGGGAGAUCUCCAUUAUGGACUCAGCAUUAUUGCAGGGACUAUCUGUGCCUUCAGAAAUGCAUCAGGAAUCAGCUUAUAAUGUAUUACUUUUUCAGCACUGACUACUUUGAAGAGACUUGUGGAAAUAUAUUCCAUUCUACUGAUUAAAAACUUCAUUGUAUUCAGAACAGAUUCAUCAACUUAUAAUUGUGGCCAGUGUAUCUGCAUUUCUGUUUGUGAAAACAGACAUCUUUUUCAUCCUGUUUGAAUGCAUUUUGCCAACACAUUAGUCUAUGUGACUCAUAACGUGCAAUUCCUACUGUAUUUAUACAGUUUUUUCUUACUUAUCAAUGUUUACAUUACUGUCUUACACAUUUAUGUACUGCUACAACAACUACAUCUGAUCUAUAUUUGUGAUAUGUACUAUUUCCCUCCUAAUAUCCUGUCACAUAUGAUAAAGAAAGAACUCAGUGGUUUCAAAGGAAAGUUGAUAUUAUUUGAGAGCUGACUUUGCAGACCAAAGAACUUUACUUUAAAGUAACUUUUAGUAUCUGUGAUUUAUUGAAGUUCUUUGUGAUAACAAAGCCUAGAAUAAAUUUGGGCGUAAGCAGUCAUAUUUAAGUACCUUUACUAUAAAAUAAGGGCAUGCAUUAUCUAGAAAUUUAGAGAUGUUUUCAUUUUCAAAUCCAUUCAAUAUGGUGAUACAACCUGUAGGUAUUUGUUAUAAUGAGCUAAGAAUAACAUGAAAAUGAAAUCAUUACCCAUGCUUUUUGAAGGCAGAAAAUCAAUGACUUUGUGACAGCAGUAUUCAGUAUAACACCGUACCAAUUUGCCUUUUUCUUUAUUCUCUAUGGCCAGUAUGCUCAUUAGUUGGUUUCUUCGGCCUUUUCUCUAGGACUGAUACAAUGAUCGUCACUUUGAAAUUAGGAACAGAGGCAUUUUUAACAACAGAAAGACUUCACAAGUAUUGGUGAAUAUGUUUAGAUUGUGUGCUCUUGUAUCUGUUCCUAUAUGUGCAUUUACCAGUGUUUUUCAUGGACAGAGUACUGGGAGUGUUGCUUGAACGACUGUUUUAUAUCAUGUAUUUGUGUUCCUCCAAGCAACUUAGCACUUGGCUUUUUUAUUUCCUUUGCCUCUCAGGAGCAUUGGUUUUUACCCUAAUAAUGCAGUUACUGAAAUGUAGGGGUCUUGUGUGUUUUCCUAUGUCUGUUACCUUACUUGUAGCCUUGUAAUUUGGUGCUAUUAGUAGGCUUGAUGAAUAUGGGGAAUACAGUAAUAAUGUGUAGUCUCUUUGAUAUUAAUGGUGCUAUGUAGCUUUGUUCCCAACACAGAAGGUCUUAAAGUAUCCUUCCUAUCUUUUUCAACCUGAAAAUUAUGGCUGUUGGCUCUCUAUUGACUAUUAACCUUGAUUGUAUGUCAACCAUAUAUUUUAUCUGAAUUUCUUAUGCAAAUCAAUCUCACAUAUUGUUUUAUAUUGCUGUUAGUACUGCUGUGUGCCUCAGAGGCUUUAAUAAAACA